UAUAUAAAAAGGUCACUUUAUUUUGCCUUUUGUUUGGUAUGCUAUCAAUGCCCUUUAAAAUCCUACUAUUCAAGUACAAAUGCUGAUGUUUACAAAGUAUUUACAAUUUUAGUCUUGUUCCUUUCUAUCUUAAAACACAACAGCUAACUGGUUACAACAGUUAACAAAAUAAUAAUAAUAAAGAACUAAACUCUGGCAGACACUGUGGAAGCCCACGCCUUAUCUUUAGAAAGUCCAUUGUAUGCUCCUCACACACGGCAGACGGCUUCUGUGGCGUGCAAAGCACUACAUGCUCACAAAGAAAUUCUAAAUGGCUUUCAGAACACAGUACUAUGGCUCUAGGGGACGGGUGCGGGUGGGGACUGAAAGGUGAAAUGAUUUAGAGGAAGCCAUGUUGUCACUUUUUCCAUGAGCCACGUAGUACAGAGAACGCGGCACUCCAUAAGGACCAUUUGUCCUGCAGUGUGGGAUGCAUUUUAAUAAAAUGAUUACACU
ensembl:lncRNA novel transcript